AAACAAACAAAACAUGGCUCUGCUUGUAAACCUUCCCUGCUUACGUCAACCCGACUCAACCUGCAGGUCGUCUCCGGAGUUAAAGCCACCAUGAGCAGAUGUAAUACCCUCCCUCCAACCUUCUUCCACAUUGGUUUGCCACUUAAUUUCUGAAAGGCCUUAUAAAAACUGCAAAUCUACCCAGGACAGGUGCAGGCUACAGAUAUACUAGAGUGAUGUGAAAAUGAUCAUGAAACUGAGAUUGUUCCUGGCAAACUUGGGAGGAAAGCUUAGGACUGUGAUUCACAAUAUGGCCUGGAGUAAACACUGCAGCACAAAUGCCGCUGGAUAGUAUUCUCUGGACAAACAGGAAAUGCACUAAAAAGCAGUUCGUUGGAAACACUUGUUCCACCAAGAAAAGAUGCUUGAAGACCUCUGUUUUAACUACCGCACUGAGAAAGCCCUUUCAGGAGGAUGCUCAUCAGAGAUCUUUGCUAUCUCAGAGCCAGCAGACACACAGGUGACAACCAUCCCUGCCUUACCUUCUGCUUGUCAGGGCAGUCCUCAGUGGGAAACUACUUCCUGCUUGGCUCACAGACAGUCUGCAUAUCACUCCCUUCUUUCCUGAGAUCCGUCCAUCUCUGUCUUUUCCUGACUGUCAGAGGCAUCCUGGAAAGAAAAUGUUCUUAAAUGUAUUCCUCCACUCACAACCGCUCUGCUUUUGGCAGAGCCAAAUCUGAAGCGGGCCGGACAGUCCUAUCCACCCAGAACUUGGCUGUCAUUAAUUAUUACUGAGCACUAAUGCAAAUCGAACUUUACUUACUCCAUCCUCUCAGCCUGUGGUACCAGAACAAGAAACCAGUCAGUCUGACAUGAAAUGCUUUGAGAAACGACUCAGGUGCAAACAGCUUCUGCCGCUAAGCACCCUACAUGUAACAGAGGUUGUCUAACCUCACUGUGCACUGGAACACAGGAGAACCUUCUGAAAUACAGCUUCCUAGGCCCACUUAGGUUGAUGGUUCUGCAGUCUGGGGAGGGUGUUGCAGAGUCUGUGUUUCCAGUCAAUUCCCAAGCAGUGCUGCUGCAGAAGGAGCCUACUGAAUGCUACAGCUGCCGAGCCCAGCUUCUUACUGGCCUGAGGGAGAAGGUCAAACCCAGUGGUUCUCAAACCAAAUUCCCCCAG
ensembl:lncRNA